rnacentral:rRNA from 1 species
CCCUUAGAUGUUCUGGACCGCACGCGCGCUACACUGAUGCAUUCAACGAGUCUAAAACCUGGUCUGAUAGGGCUGGGUAAUCUUUUGAAUGUGCAUCGUGAUUGGGAUAGAUGAUUGCAAUUCUUCAUCUUCAACGAGGAAUGCCUAGUAAACGCAAGUCAUCAGCUUGCAUUGAUUACGUCCCUGCCCUUUGUACACACCGCCCGUCGCUCCUACCGAUUGAAUGUUCCGAUGAAUACCAUGGACUGAGAGUAUGAAUGGGUUCGCCUAUUUCUGCUUCUCGGGAAGUGGAGUAAAUCUUAACAUUUAGAGGAAGGAGAAGUCGUAACA